GCGGGUGUAGCUCAAUGGCAGAGCUUCAGACUUCCAAUCUGACGACGCGGGUCCGAUUCCCGUCACCCGCU
rnacentral:tRNA from 1 species